CAGUUGGUAUCAAAGCUGUAGGUUAUAAACCUUAGGUAGGUGUACCUUAGGCUAUAACCACAAAGAUGAUAAGUAAUAAACUCGAAUAGAGUUUAAGCGAUAAGAGAUGAAUUUAUGGAAAUUCAUCAUUAAGUAAAGAAGAAGAUAAAGAAGAUUCAAAGAAGAAUCUUGAAGAGAUAUAAGGAUAAGAAUCUGGAGUUACCUAACUCCAGUAAUAGAGAUGAAAAGUGAAAAUAAAUAGACUAUGUCUAUAAGAUGAAAAGUGUAAAUAAAAUCAUAAUAUAAUAUGAUUAAAGAGAAGAAUAAGAAGAUUGUAAAAUAAAACGAUCGUAAGCAUAAGGAGAAAUGAUUACGAAAUAAGAUCACCACAUGAUCAGAUUAAAUCAUUAAAUAACAUAUGAUUUGUUAAAUGAUUGGAAUGAUAUAGCUUGAUGCUAUAAAGAGAAGGUACUAUGAAAUGGUACAAUGUAAACUUAGAAAUGAGUGGAAAAUGUUAAGAUACGGAUUAAAGAAAAUUCGUAUUAAGAAAAGAGAAAGUUAAGAUUAUGUGGGUUUUCAAUUGAGGACUCAGGUCAGCAGCUGAGUUGUAUGAUUCCUUGUAUGGGCGGGGAAUUUGUACUUGGUUUUAGAAUCACUUAGCUUCCUGGUUGAUAUAGUGGUUAGGUUGACAAAUUCUUUGUAUGGGCGUGGAAUUGUCCGCUUAGCUUCCUAUAUUGAUUAGUGGCCGAGUUUGGUUUGACAACCACUUAGUUUCUGGUAAUGAUAAUCAUUGGGACCUAAUGUUGCACUUUUUGUUAUAUGCAUGUUGAGAAGGUGAUUCUUUUCUCAUGUGUACAACGAAUAGGUAGAGGAUAUAAGGUUAAGUUGUGAGUUCUUAAAACUCAUACUUAUGGUAAGUUCAUGACUCAUAAUCAUAUGGUAUGUUUUGAACCCCUCAGCGAAUGGACGCCUAUGGUCUGACUAGGAUAAGUUCUUAAACUCAUAUGAUUGUGGCAAGUUCCUGAACUCAUAAUGUGUGGUAAGUUUGAUGAACUGGGGUAUAGCAAAGUGGUGAAUGGAGCAUUGAGGA
rnacentral:lncRNA from 1 species